GGCACUGGUUUGUCGGUACAGUAUCUUUGAUUGGACUGAUCAUAUCAACAUCUUACUUUCACAAUCUUAAUUGUGAAAUAAUGAAGAGAAAUAUAGAUAAAACAUAUCGGUGCUCAUCGGCAGUGCCUAACUGCAAGCGUUGCAGCUGGGAAGUCGGGAAUAAACAGCUCAAACUGGGAAAAUAUAUUUUGAACGGUCAUUCAACUCAGAAUUGUAAAUCUGUCAUCUUUCUCUUUGAUGAUAAAAUUUGUCCACAAGGAGACAGCCGCGCCAUUUUCCUGUUCAAGCAUAUCACAACAAAGGACCUGAGCCCUAGGACCAUGCCCCAGGACUACCUGACAUGAUGACUCCUUGCUGUCCCCAGUCCACCUGGCCAUGCUGCUGCUCCAGUUUCAACUGUUCUGCCUUGUUAUUAUUCGACCAUGCUGGUCAUUUAUGAACAUUUGAACAUCUUGGCCAUGUUCUGUUAUAAUCUCCAUCCGGCACAGCCAGAAGAGGACUGGCCACCCCACAUAGCCUGGUUCCUGUCUAGGUUUCUUCCUAGGUUUUGGCCUUUCUAGGGAGUUUUUCCUAGCCACCGUGCUUCUACACCUGCAUUGCUUGCUGUUUGGGGUUUUAGGCUGGGUUUCUGUACAGCACUUUGAGAUAUUAUUCGCCUACCUCCUCAUGCCUUUUGCACACAUUGUAUAUAGAUUGCCCAUUUUUUUACUACUGUGUUAUUGACUAGUUAAUUGUUUACUCCAUGUGUAACUCUGUGUUGUCUGUUCACACUGCUAUGCUUUAUCUUGGCCAGGUCGCAGUUGCAAAUGAGAACUUGUUCUCAACUAGCCUACCUGGUUAAAUAAAGGGAAAUUCUGCAAAUGUGGAGGUGAACAUGUGCCUGAAUUCUUGGAGAAUGAGGUGGCAAGGGUAAGGAGUGUCCAGUCUCCUAUCUGGAGGUGUUGAGAAAAUCGGAAGGAACGAGUGGUGGGGAAUAAGCAAUGGUAAUAGAGCCACCAAGACCAGUGAAGGCUUCUCAUCAACCAAGGAAUAGUAAAAUGCUACAUGUUAAAAAGGUGGACUUAGUAUUAUUUAUUGCAAUGAUCAUAAACUGUACAGCACAAGCGAAGAAGAAGUCUAACAAAAUUGGAGUCAUUGGAGUCAGGGUGGUGAGGUCUGCCCAACGCAGUACCCGAUGUCACAGGAAGACCAAAAAGAUCAUCAAGGACAACAACCACCCGAGCCACUGCCUUUUCACCCCGCUAUCAUCCAGAAGAGUAGGUCAGUACAGGUGCAUCGAUGCUGGGACCAAGAGACAGAAAGAGUUUUUCUGUCUCAAGUUCAUCAGACUGUUAAAUAGCCAUCACUGGCACAUUAGAGGCUGCUGCCCUAUAUAUAUAGACUUGAAAUCACUGUCCACUUUAAUAAUUGGAAUACUAGUCACUUUAAUAUUGUUUGACAUUUUGCAUUACUCAUCUCGUGUGUGUGCGUGUAUACUGUAUUCUAUCCUAUUCUACUGUAUCUUAGUCUAUGCCGCUCUGACAUUGCUUGUUCAAAUAUUUUUAUAUUCUUAAUUCCAUUCCUUCCACUCCUUACUUUAGAUUGUGGGUAUUGUUAGAUAUUACUUGUUAGAUUUGACUGCACUGUUGGAGCUAGAAACACAAGCAUUUCGCUACAUCUGCAAUAACAUCUGCUAAAUGUGUAUGUGACAAAUUUAAUUUAACCUAUUGGAUUUCGAGGUAAUUUUAUGAGUCAACUAGUGUUAUAACUGGAAGUCUACAGGAACUAUUAGCAUGCUAGCUGGUCCUUCUGUAGCUCAGUUGGUAGAGCAUGGCGCUUGUAACGCCAGGGUAGUGGGUUCGAUCCCCGGGACCACCCAUACGUAGAAUGUAUGCACACAUGACUGUUAGUCGCUUUGGAUAAAAGCAUCUGCUAAAUGGCAUAUAUUUUUAUUAUAUAUAUAUAUAUAUAUAUAUUUCCUGUUCAUCCAACUCUGGGGAAGUAAAUAAAUAGCCUCGUUGCCAAAAUCUCAAACUAUCUUUUUCGUUUGGAAGAAAUGAGUCAUUGGGGCUAAUUACAAGGGGAGCCUUUUUUUGUUGUUGUGGUUAUUCUGUAAAAUUCGUAGGUGGGACAUUUUUAAAUGGUAAUUUUCCGGAUGGAAAAACAGUUUGUCAACUUAAACGACCAAAACCAGAUAGAAAGAAUUCAGAAACAAUAUUGAACUUAAUAUAUUUUGAAUAAUACCAUCUUUGAGAAGGAACAAUCCAAUGAAAACUCCACGGUCAGGGCGAAUCAGAAAUACAAAAAACAGGCAUUCAGGGCACAUGCUUCUUGAUUGUGUUAUGCUUGAGCAGAGGAACACAGCAUUAGCCAUGGCAGAAUGCAUAGAAUUGCAGGAUAUUAUCUUUAAAACUGCAACAUUUUCUCUCUGCUCAAUGAGAAAAUGUGUAGAAUUGCAGAAAAUUUGCUUGACAAAAGCAACAUUUUCUACUUUACCCUUCUAGCUAUAUGGCUGUUCAAGUGUAUACUUCCUCUUCCAAUUAACUGUGGGGAGGUCAAAAUAUACAGUAUGAUGGGGAUCCCUGGGUUGCCGGUUUGCCUAAGUGGGGGUCCUUGGGCACAAAGUUUGAAAACCCCUGUAUAAAAUGGUAUAGGCUACUUUCAGUCAUUAAUUUCUUAGUCUCUCUUUCACUCCUCUCUCAAGAGGACCUGAGCCCUAGAAGCAUGCCUGAUGACUCCUGGCUGUCCACCUGGUCGUGCUGCUGCUCCAGUAUCAACUGUUCUGCUUGUGGCAUAGCACUUUGUGACAUCAGCUGCCGUAAAAAGUGCUUUAGAAAUAGAUUUUAUUGAUAAAUGUUUCAGGGUUAUUUAAUCAGCAUUUAUUAGUAUCAAUUAAUAUUUGAUUAACCUAUUACUAUAAAUAGUUUUUGAUACGAUAUUGAAUUUGGGUUCAGAUUUUGUGACUUAGUAUGUAGUCUUGAACUCACCAAAAUAAAUCCUCUGGCUUCAACCUCAUGAUCAACUCUAAACUUAGAUCUACUUACCUGGGUGAGUUUUAGUUGGAGUAAUGUAUGUGUGUGUGUAAGCUACAUUGAAAUGUUAUUAACUUUUUGUAUUACCAGUCACAUUGCGACUAAUGGAGAAUGAGCAAAUAAUUACGCUAAUAUUCCCUUCUCCUGAGCAAUGUAGCUUUCAUCGGUUGCAAUUUAUGAUCCCUUUUUCCUUAUCAAUGAUUUUCAUUUGCUGUCAAAAUCACCUCCAUUAAGGACAUUUACUGGAAGACCCUGAUCAGACAAGACAAUGACACAGUGGAUGGGAAAUCUAUUAAGACUACAUUUCUUAAUGUUUUUUUACAAUACAAUUUGAACAUGGAUCAGUCACAUUUUGCCUGAUUUAAAUUACAUAAUAAAUUAAUCAAUGAAUCAAAUGGAAAACAGAUUGUAUUUUUGCCUUUGGGUUGUCCCCAAACUUUCUGGUUACACAGCUGGAAUGAGAUUGUAACGGUGCUCUUCUUCCUCCUCCUCUGAAGAGGAGGUGUAGCAGGGAUCGGACCAAAUUGCAGCAUGGUUAUUAUGAUACAUGUUUAAUAAAAGAUUAACAAUACAAUAGAGAGAAUAUAGGAGACGGCACGGGUCAAAAUGAUUGAUUGAUGACCGUACGUCAUGAUGACGUGUACAUGUCUGAAUAUGGGCCUCCGGCCCGUCCCCCCCUGUUCAUGUGUUCACGUGUUAGAGGGUGUGUGUUAUUUUAUAUCUCUAUGGUAUGCUUUGAAGUAGUCCUGUUGUUUGAUGUCUAGGGGGCUGGUUGAACUGGGGAGGGUGGGUGUUGAGUGUUUGAACUUUUGGGACUGUGUAUGUCCCCCCCCCACCCCCAGUUUUAUCUCCCUUAUGGUUGUUAUCUAUGAAGUAGGAAUGUCCAGGGUUAUGUAUCUGGGGCCUAGGCUUUAUAAAUGUCCAGAACAAGCCAUUUUUAAGACCUGAAUAUUAAACAUCUAAAAUAUGUCUACAAGGGGAAUUCUUGGAGUGCUCUGUAGCUCAUGUCAUGAAUCCAAAGCCAAAAGCCUGGAGGAUAUUUUGCUUGAGGCUCCAGAAUGUUUUAAAGGAUUUUUUUGUACAAGCGAGGGACAUAUUUCGUAGAUAUUCAACCCGGAGGAAUCUACGGUUAAGAUAUUCACAGACAGCGUGUUCCAACCCUUUUAUCGUGCAGAACCCGAGCCUUUUUCUCCAGCGCUAAGGAUGCGAGAAUGGCUUAAAAUAAGGCUAGCUUUGUGUCAAAUGGAAUUCGCCCUGAGUGCUUCAAGGAUGCCAGGAUAUGCGUUGGAAGAACAAGUCUGUGGACGAAAUGAUCUGAUGGCUCUGAGAGUCACUUCCAUGGGGUAUACCCCGGACUACUCCUAUGUCAUGAUGACGCGUGCAUGUUUAAAUAUGUACCCCCUCCCCGGCCCCCCUGUUCGUGUGGUCAUGUGUUAGAGGGUGUUUGUUAUUUUAUAUCUAUAUGUCAUGCCUUGAAGUAUUCAAGGUGUUUGAUGAGUAGGGGGGUCUGGUUGUGUGGGGGUGUUUGAGUGUUUGAACUUUUGGGACCAUGUAUGUCCCCCCCACCCGCCAGCUUUAUCUCCCUUAUGUUUGUUAUCUCAUGAAGCAGGAAUGUCUGGGGCUAUAGCGCUGGGGCCUCAGCAUUAUAAAUGUCCAGAACAAGGCUUGCGAACCCAGAACCGUAAACCCUAUGUUUUAAACAUGGAUUUUGCGAUCAGUGGCAAAGCUGUGAUGACUGUAGCAUCGGAGGCAGGACCGCGUCUGAAACAGAAGGGCAAAGUAUACAGCCGCAAUAUACGAUGCACCAAAAAAGCGGUUUCUAAACGUGUAUAGAACCCAGAUACCUCCCGCAACUGCGCUGAAAGAUGAAGUGCUGAUGUCUAAUGGACAGCAUUGGGGGUAUCUGUUUGAUUACUUGGCCUGUCGUGUGAAACUCUAUACGUUAGCCGAAGGAGAAGAAUAUACCGACCAGAAAUUAGGAGUGACUUAUGAGGUUGAAGACUGGACGGUUUUUCGACAGGUUUUGUGUCCCGAACUGAGCCGUAUCACCAAAGGUUACAGCUUGUUCACAGGCUACGAGACACGUUGGGAAGGUACCCCGGACACCUCAGGAAGAGUAUUUCACCGGGUGAAAAUACAGAGAAAGAAUGGACUUCCCUGCGGCUGCGUGGAGUUCUAUAUCAGCACAGCGGAAAUCCGAAACCAAAACAUCAGGGAUGGCGGUUCAGACGGGGAUUUCAGGCUUUGAAUGCUUAUACCCUUUAAAAGCUGGCCUUUAAUGGAAUUGAAAAUGUUGGAGAUGUUGGACGCUCUGUUUGUACAGAGCCAAAAUUGCCAGAGCAUUGUUCGGCUAAAGAAGUGCAUAAUAUAUACGAAUCCGGAGGAUUACGACUCAAAGCAGCCCCAAGAAGGUACAACGUCAGGAGAUGCAGCCCCCAAAGAAACAGAGGUAAGCGGUGUUGUUAACCCCGCCCAGAUACCCAGAGGGCUGGUUCAACAAUAAAAGGAUGGUUCUUAAAACCUACAGUUCUUAACCUACGCAUUGACCAUGGAUAUUCCUAACGCAUACCCGAACUCCGAAAUGGCCAGGGCUCCCGACACUAAGGAUUGUAUGCCUCGCAGCCCUACAUUCUACUCCCCCCUGGCAAGACCCUCGACACCCCCUACAUGUACACAACCUGAGGACGUGUUUGAUGGGGUGGUCAGUACUAUUUUUGUGGACACAAUCAAGGCCUCAGUAGCCACGCUUUUAGACGUGGUGAUUGGAGAAUAUAUACGAGAAAAAUGCAUUGGUUGUGAGAUUAAUCACCCCAGCCAGCGCAGGCAUCCAUGCCUAUACGACCCCCCAAGAUACUACUUCUUCAACAAUUUUGAGGCGCUGGUGAAAAUACUUUGGUCCUGCCGGUUUAUACCAUCGCUGGUCAGAGCCCUGGAGGCUAUGGGCCUUGUGCCGUCUAUCCCCAGAGUUUACGGGGUAACCGAGGCAUUCCUACACGAGCUGAAGGAGGCGAUUCACAUACACGAGAAACUCAAAGAAAUCCGACACACCCUGGUGGAGGAUAACAAAUACAGGGAGGCUGUGGUGUCUGAUGUGAUGACUUUCUGGCUCAAUAAACCCCAAGAGACCGAGUGAUAUUUUUGUUAUUUAGAUGUAGAGCAAUGGGUAACUAUGUGUAUACUAUGUUAGAGAGAAUAAAUACAUUUUUUCUUUUGAGAGAACUUACAAGUGUUAUGCAUCAAAUUAUUGAAAAUAAAGUGAACAAUGUCUCGUUCUACACAAAGCCCAAUUGAAAAUGGACCAAAUCAUGAAUCAUGUACGACAUGCGGGCGAGUGUCUACAAUGGACACAAAUGGUAACCCGGCUUGGUGGUGAUUCUGAAGAACUAGAAACAACCUUGUCUAAGAUUUUACUUUAUUUGUUUGAAACACCCUUUAAUUGUAACAUGUAUCAUAUUUGUUGUUUAUAUACUUUUAUAGCUGAUGUGUCUGUUGUAAAAAUUCAGCGAAACAAACCUGUUAAUCUAAACCAAAUAUACAAGGUUUUACAUGAUUCGAUCAUAGAGAAAGGGGGGGCAUGUAUCCUGCAACGAAUUAUGGAUUGUCUGUAUACGUAAUACCUAAUGUUUUCAUGAAAAUAAAAAUC